GUAGCUGAACCUCAGUGAGCUAAUAUUAGCUAUGGGAAAUAGUUCUGUGAUCGUGAAGUAGACUUUGCUUGUCGAUCUCAUUUUCGAUUUUAUCACCUGAAAUUUCUGUUAAUUAGCUACAAAAAAUAAGGUGGAUGACAAUUGCUGGCAUUUACUGUUUCAUUUGAACAACAUGGAAUUUCUGGAUACUUCAGAUAGUGAAGGGACGGCAGUGGCGGACUCGGAGAGCGAUGUAGACGAUAAUUUAUACGCUAGCAGGUUAAUGUGUGCAGAUUCAUUUUCACUGUCACCGCGGUUGAAGGUAUCUUUUCGUGCCACUGAAUGUUCUCCAGUGAUAAAACCACUACCUCGCAGAAAACUGACUGAAGCGGAGAAGACUGCACUAAUUUCAAGAAAGGUAAA